AAUAUGUUGCCAGCAUUUUAUCAAAGUUGUUGUGACAUGUUAAGCAAAUGGGAGAAGAUGGUGUGUACAGAAGGAUACAGUGAGUUAGAUGUGUGGCCUUAUCUUGUAGAUUUGACAAGAGAUGUGAUUUCCCGAUCUGCUUUUGGAAGCAGCUUCGAAGAAGGCAGACGAAUUUUCCAAUUACUAGAGGACCAACUCGUUCUCACAAUCAAAUUAAUACAAACUGUUUACAUUCCAGGAUGGAGGUAACCCUCAACUUAAUUUACUUGAAAAAGGUUGCAAAUGUUGGAAUUCGCUAAAUUCGUGUUUGUUUUCUUGAAGGUUUUUGCCAACAAAGACAAACAGGGAGAUGAAGAUGAAACACAGACAUAAAAGAGUCGCUUAGGGAAAUGAUAAAGAGAAGGGAGAAGGCAAUUAAAGCAGGGGAAGAGAGCAAUGAGGACUUGUUGGACAUACUUGUGGAAUCCAAUAUCAGAGAAAUGGAAGCAAAGAAUAUGGGGAUGAGCAUUGAGGAUGUGAUUGAGGAAUGCAAGCUGUUUUACUUUGCUGACCAAAAGACCACUUCGGUCUUGCUGGUGUGGACUAUGGUUUUAUUAGCAAGGUAUCCCGAUUGGCAAAGUAAAGCAAGAGAGGAGGUUUUGCAUGUUUUGGGUGACAGUAAACCUGAUGCUGAUGGCCUUAAUCGUCUCAAAGUUGUAAGUCCCUAGCAUGUCUCUUGAAGGCCCGAUCUCUGAGGUCGACAACUCAAAAACUUGGUUUCUUUGUUUCGCUAAUUCUACAGUUAACAAUGAUAUUGUACGAGGUUCUAAGGCUGUACCCACCAGUGAUUGAGCUAGGACGUUCCGUUCCAAAAGAAAUAAAACUGGGAAAUUUGUUGUUACCAGCAGGAACAGACGUUUCGGUUCCAAUCCUGCAGAUCCACCAUGACAAAGAUCUUUGAGGCGACGACGCACGGGAAUUUAAGCCACAGCGGUUCACGGAAGGGGUUUCCUAAGCAACAAAGAGUCAAGUCACGUUUCUGCCAUUCGGAUGGGGUCCUAGGAUCUGCAUUGGCCAAAACUUUGCCAUGAUGGGAACCAAAAUGACGAUGGCUAUGAUUCUCCAACGCUUCUGGUUCGAGCUUUCCUCUUCCUAUGCUUACUCUCCUUACAACAUGGCAACUCUUCGUCCACAGCAUGGUGCACAGAUAAUUUUACAAAAACUUGGCUGUAAUUGAAUUGUUAUGUAAACAAAUCUUUGUGAAAAUAUAGUGUUUUAGUGUAUCGUCAAAGUCUGCCUGUAAUGGUACAAUUCCGAUGCAUGAAUAGUAAAUCUUGAGAUGUUUGGUGAAGUCCGAAAUAAUAUGCAGAAAUUGAGUGUCUUGAAUGGAUGUAGUAUUUAAUGGUGGACAUAGUUGAGGGACUAAUGUGGUAAUUAUCAAACAAAUAAUUGCAUAUGGUACAAAGACUUGUAUGGAAAUUAGAGCAGGGCGAGUUGAAAAUUACUACUUUGCUUCGGGCAUCAAUUUAGAAAGAUUUAAAGUACAAAUGUAUUAUUAGUUUAAGGGAUUUGUUUUAAAGAAGGAAUGACAAUUAAACCUCAUGGUUGAUGUGUGGAAGGGAACCAAUGAUGGGAUGAUUACUCCUAGUGGUAAAAAAAAAAACUAUUAAGGUGGUUAUUAUAGUUGUUAUCACCGGCCCAAAAUUAGAAUAGGUUCAGGUCGGAUUAUAUUGAGCUUGUAGAUGAGUUUGCAUGAUAAUAGGUGUUCACAGAAAGAUAUCUAUAGUUUCCUACAAAGUCACAUGUGAGAUCGUGCAUUGGGACCGCAUAAAAAUGUUUUAUGUUUAGAAUAUGAUACGUGUCUAUGUGUAUGGAAUCUACCUAAUAUAUCAUAUUAAUUAAUAGUAUCAAUUGCGGAGCCAAAAAAUUAUUUCUGAGGGGUCAGAAUUAAAUUGUAUAUUUUUACAAAAAUAAAAAUUAAAUUUCACUAUUUUAAUAGUUUAUUUCUUUUUAAUUUUUAAAUGAUUAAAUUAAAUUUUUAUAAAUUUUUGGGAUCAAAGUACAAUUUUAUCAUUUCUAAUUUAAAAUUUUAUAAAAUAUAAAAAGUUUAUAUGAAAAGUUUUCUAUUUUAGAGUGGCCAAAGCCCCUGCCAACUUCCGACUCGAUCACUAAACAAUAUAAAUAAAUAAAUACCACCAUCUAAAAGACUCAAGAAAAACACUCAACGAUAAAUAGAUAGAUGUUGGGUAAAGAUACGUUUGGAUGGGCGGUGCGUUUACUUGCGGUUAGUAUAAAAAUAGCGGUGGCGGUUAGAUUAGAUACUAUAGCAACACUGUAGCGUAAGACAAAAAAUAAGCUAAACGCACUGCACUGCACUUAAUCGCCCAUCCAAACUCACCCUAAGUGUCCAAAAUAUGAUUUAAGUGAAGAUACGUAGGGUAGGUGUCAUGGAAAUGUAAAAGACAAGAAUCCCACUAAUGUAUGGGAUGUGUACAGCUGAAUGUAGGGAGCAAAGAGGAGUGAAUCAUUUUGGUAACAUUUGGACAAGAAACAUAAUGAACAAAAUGAAAGGAGAGGAAGCUAGUAAAAGAUUUUUUUGGGUUAUAUAAUUUGUUUGGCAUAUAUUUUUAUAAUUUUUAAAUAUCAUUUUGGAGUUGAAUUAUAAUUUCUUUUUAUGUUUUAAAACAUAAUUAUUCUAUCUUCAAAGGGUUAGAGUAGAGGUGAGCAUGGGUCGGGCUACUCGGCCCGAAAUGUGAGAGAUUUGGGCAAAAAUAUAGGCUCAAAAAAUGGACUUGGACAAAAAAAUAUAAGGCCCGUUGAAAAAUGGGCCGGGCAUUGGGUAAGGCAUUUUUGGCCCCGGGCCCGGCCCAAUCCUAAUUCACUAAAGGACAAAAAAAAUCUGAUUUUUAAAUAUUAUUUUCUCCCUAUUUUGCUACCAUUUUACUAUUAUGUUGCUACUAUUUUGUUGUUAUUUUUUGGAUAUUGUAUAAAACUUAUUUUAUUGUUAAUUUUGUUAUUAUUUUAAAGACAUUUGUUAAUUUUGUUAUUAUUUUAGAGACAUUUGCUUGUUAAGUUGCAUCUAUCUUAGUGUUAUUUAAGUAUACAUAUUUUUUAAAAUUUAUUUUCAAUUUAUUGGGAAAUAUUUAUUUUGAUGUUUUUAGUAUUUUGGAUGUAUUAUAUAUAUUAAAAUUAUAUAAAAAUUAAUAUGGCCGAGCCGAGUCAGGCCCAGAUUUUAGCAUUUUUAUUCAAGUCGGGCUUGAGCAAAAUUUUAAGCCCAUUUUUUGGGCCAAACCAGGCCUGGGCUUAGCAAAUGGGCCUAAAUUUUUAGUCAAGCCCGACCUAAACCCGAUCCGGCCCAUACUCACCUCUAGAUCAGAGCUGCCCUCGCUUUUCAUUUCUUUGAGAUUCAGUCUUAUCUACUGUUGAUUGCCCACUCAAUUGAGGGUUGAGUAGAAAGAUUUGGUGAAGCAAGCUAAGCUAUCAAUCAAGGUUGGAGAAAGCUUAGGAGGUCACAAUGCAUAAUUAUUUAAAUGUAAUUCUAAUAUUUAAAUAAAAUUUAUUAAUAUAGUAUUAACAAGCCCUAAAUGUAAUGAUUAUAUACUAUUACAUUUUUAAGAAGAGAAAACAUGUUUGAACCUUAAAAACAUCAUUAUUAAAAAUGAUAAUUAAAAAUUUUAAAAUAUAAAAAAUAUAAUUAAAAAUUAAUUUUAAACCCGAGCUGGAUAAAAUUCUAAUUUUAGAUAACGAUACUAAUAAGAAAUCAAUAUUAAAAUGAAAAUGAAAAGUAAUUUAAUAUAAUUUUUGAGUCUUGGGCAAAGGCACUCAAUGAAUGCUUGGAAAGAAAUAAUGCAACUUGGUGAUAGCUUUUGUUGGAGUAAUAUGCUCUUAUUAUAGUUUUAUGUUUUUAUCUUGCAAAAACAACAUAUUGGAGUUUUCGGCAUGAUUUUUUCUUAAUACUUUACAUGAAAAAUAAUAAUGGGACUUAAAAAUCUAUCAAAAGCUUCACCAUAAUAAUAAUAAUAAUAAUAAUAAUAAUAAUAAUAAUAAUAAUAAUAAUAAAUUGCUACAAUAUUACAACACGUUACAAUAAGAGCUUAUAACUCAACAAAGGCUAUCAAUAAAUAAUCUCAGGCAAGCUAAAGAGAAAUGUUGAGAAUACCACCCGAAUAGUGACUGACUUUAAAAGUUGAAAACCCGAAGCUAUAGUAUCUCAAACGAAAUCAAACCAUAAACAUUAAAAUUUUCAAGUCUACUAGCUACUGUAAAAAAUGCAGCUCCAACAGACACCAAAUGAGUCUUUGAUCGAAGAAAGUACAAAAACUAGUCUGGGUAAACCAAGCUGCCAAACUUACUUAUCUUAUCUUUAAUUUUGCAGUGAAAUUAAAAACUAAGUUUUUGUUUAUUUCACUUGGAACAACUUUCAAAAAAUUAUUUUUGAAAAAUGGAUUGGUUUUUCGAAAUAGAUGAUAUUUUAUUGUGUUAAAAUUUUAUUCGUUGUUGGAAAACUUUUUUUAAAUCAUUUUCUUAAAGUUAUUUUUAGUGAAACAAACAUAACAUAAAUAUAUUUGUUACAAAAAAAUUAUAUUAGUAUUUUCUUUUGACAAUUAAAAUUUAUUUUAUGAUAAGACAAUAUUUUGUAAUAAUUAAUAUCAUAUAUAUACUUAUUAAAAAAAUCUUGUUUAAUUAAAAUUUAAUUAAAAUUAAAUAUAUUAAUAAAGCUACAUAUAAUCAUAUUUUUUAUAAUUAAAAUAUUAAUAUAAAUAUUUUUCAAUAAUAUAUUAAAAUAUUAAAAUUUAAAUUAUUAUUACUUAAAUUAAUUAUUAAAAUAAAAAUUUAAGAUUAAAUAAUUUAUUCAAUGAUAAGUUUUAUUAAUAAUUUAUUGUAUUAUUAAAUAUAAUUAAUUAAAUAUGCAUAUUUAAUAAUAUUACGUUAUAAUAUUUUAAUAUUCUUAAACAGCCAUGUUUUUAAGAUGCUGGUGAUGGUGAUGGUGCGGGCCUCUCUUGUUACAAUUACUAUAAUUUUUUGUGCAAUAAUUGAAGUUGUUGGGUGGUCAAGCAAACCUCUUUUGACUGAGAUGCAUAUAAUAUACCCGCAUGUCCCCGCCUCCUAAAAUUUAAAUUUGCUAUUUGAAUCUUUAAAAUUUUUAAAAAUUUUAAAUUCAUAAAAGUAAAAUUAUACUUUGACCCUCUAAAAUUAUAAAAAUUUAAUUUAAUCUUUUAAAAAUUAUAAAUAUAUAGACUAUAAAAAAUUAAAAUUUCAUUGGGCCCCUAAUAUAUUGUUCAGGCUUCACCCUUGAUACUGAUGUUGACUAUUUUAGAGUAUGUGUCUUCUUUAAUAGGGUUAAAUUAUAUAUUUAUAUAAUAUAGUUAUUGUUUAUGGACGUGACAUCGUAACUAGGUUCUUAUGCAUGUCAACAUAUAUCCUAUUUUAAGGUUAACACGUAUUUUUAAAUAUGAAUUCACCUAUAUAAUGGUAUGAACCAUCAUGCAGUCUCAUAAAAUAUGCGAAUAUAUGUCGUGCGAACACAAAGUACAAACCACACAGAAUACGAAUUAAGACCCAAUUGAAUAAUCGGAUACGAAUCAGUAAUAAUGAAUUUCAUAACAGCCACCAACCCCUCUUUUGUUUUAAUUUAUUUUAUUUCCAGUAAGUUAUUGUUUGUGAUAAUUCACAACAAAUGCUUUUGUCAUUAUUUUGUUGGUAAAUAAUAAUAAGAUUAAACUUUACUUUCUUAAGCUCCUUCAAUUCUUUGGAAGUUGGUGGUUUUUUAUUCUAAUCUUAUUUUUUUUAUUAAUUUCUUUUUUUAUAAUAAAUGUGUUUAUAGAUCAGGUUGGAUUAUAAUUGAAUCAUUGUCUGGUAUUAACAUAAUUUAUAUCGAUUAAAAUUUAUUCGACUGGAAAUAUAAAUUUAAAAUUUUACUUCAAUUUAUCUUAAUUUAUAAAUUGUGAAUUUAAAUUUAUUUAUUUUCUCUCAUUAUAUUCAGUUUUUCGGAUCAUAUUUGGCCCAGAACAAAAACUAGAACAAAAAAACAAAUAUAUAUGUUUUCCAAAAAUUAAAUUGUUAACUUCAAAAAAAUAUAUUUUUAGCUAUUUAUCAUCAUAGAGAAAAACAAAUAAGGUCACCUCGCCUUAUGCUUCAACACCUCAACCUAGAUUCUCAUCACCUGUAUUUAUCAUCGAUUCAGAUUUUUAUUUUUACUAUAUUCUAGAUCUACCUAUAAAUAUAUCUUCAAACUUCCUCUGGUUAAGUUCAUUCAUAGAUAGGUGAGUAAACUUGAGCUUCAGCUUCAACAAACACCUUAGUUUGAAGACACAAUUCUCUCAUACUAAAAAUAUGGAAGUUUACCAUGUAAUUAGAGAUUUGGUCUCAUUGCUUGUUGUUGGUUUAUUAAUGAUAUGGGGAUGGAGAGCUUUAAACUGGGUAUGGUUGGCCCCAAAGAGGCUCGAAAGGUGCUUGAGACAACAGGGUUUUGCAGGGAAUCCUUACAGGUUCCUUUCUGGUGACAUAAAAGAGCUCUCAACUAUGAGCAGACAAACAAGAGCCAAACCUAUGCCUCUUAGUGAUGAUAUUGGGCCUUAUGUUGCUCCUUUUCUUCAUCAAACUGUCAACCAGUAUGGUAUGUUUAAUUAUUAUUUAAUCUUCAAUUUAUGAUAAUUCUUUGUUAUUUAUGAAUGGAAUUUAUUGGGAGGAAAUGCAGGAAAGAAUUCAUUUACGUGGAUUGGUCCAAGACAAAGGGUGAACAUUAUGGACCCUGAAAAAAUAAGAGAAAUAUUUACCAAAUUUAAUGACUUCCAGAAGGUGCGUACCAAUCCACUGCUUACUUUGCUUGUAAGCGGCCUUGUUAACCUCGAAGGAGACCGAUGGAGCAAACAUAGAAAAAUCAUAAACCCUUCAUUUCAUCAAGAUAAGUUGAAGGUAUAGAAUAGUGAUGGGUACUUAAGACUUAAUUUACAGAAAACAUGAUACUUAAAUCUAUGCUUUUCUGAUUUAGAAAUGAUUGGAUGCAGAAUAUGUUGCCAGCAUUUUAUCAAAGUUGUUGUGACAUGUUAAGCAAAUGGGAGAAGAUGGUGUGUACAGAAGGAUACAGUGAGUUAGAUGUGUGGCCUUAUCUUGUAGAUUUGACAAGAGAUGUGAUUUCCCGAUCUGCUUUUGGAAGCAGCUUCGAAGAAGGCAGACGAAUUUUCCAAUUACUAGAUGACCAACUCGUUCUCAGAAUCAAAUUACUACAAACUGUUUACAUUCCAGGAUGGAGGUAACCCUCAAUUUACUUGAAAAAGGUUGCAAAUGUUGGAAUUGGCUAAAUUCGUGUUUGUUUCCUUAAAGGUUUUUGCCCACAAAGACAAACAGGGAGGUGAAGAUGAAACACAAAGACAUAAAAGAGUCGCUCAGGGAAAUGAUAAAAAGAAGAGAGCAGGCAAUUAAAGCAGGGGAAGAGAGCAAUGAGGACUUGUUGGACAUACUUGUGGAAUCCAAUAUCAGAGAAAUGGAAGCAAAGAAAAAGGGGAUGAGCAUUGAGGAUGUGAUUGAGGAAUGCAAGCUGUUUUACUUUGCUGGCCAGGAGACCACUUCGGUCUUGCUGGUGUGGACUAUGGUUUUAUUAGCAAGGUAUCCCGAUUGGCAAAGUAAAGCAAGAGAGGAGGUUUUGCAUGUUUUGGGUGACAGUAAACCUGAUGCUGAUGGCCUUAAUCGCCUCAAAGUUGUAAGUCCCUAGCAUGUCUUUUGAAGGUCCGAUCAAUAAGGUCGACAACUCAAAAAUUUGGUUUCUUUUUUCGCUAAUUCUACAGUUAACAAUGAUAUUGUACGAGGUUCUAAGGCUGUACCCAUCAGCGACUGAGCUAGGACGUUCCGUUCCAAAAGAAAUAAAACUGGGAAAUUUGUUGUUACCAGCAGGAACAGAAAUUUCGGUUCCGAUCCUGCUGAUCCACCAUGACAAAGAUCUUUGGGGCGAUGACGCACGGGAAUUUAAGCCAGAGCGGUUCGCGGAAGGGGUUUCCAAAGCAACAAAGAGUCAAGUCACGUUUCUGCCAUUCGGAUGGGGUCCUAGGAUCUGCAUUGCCCAGAAUUUUGCUAUGAUGGAAGCCAAAAUGGCGGUGGCCAUGAUUCUCCAACGCUUCUGGUUCGAGCUUUCCCCUUCCUAUGCUCACUCUCCUUGCAGCAUGGUAACGCUUCGUCCACAGCAUGGUGCACAGAUUAUUUUACAUAAACUUGGCUCUAAUUGAGUAGUUAUGUAAACAAAUCAUUGUGAAAAUAGUGUUUUAACGUAUCGUAAAAACUCCGGUGUCUGUAAUGGAACAUUUCCGAUGCAUGGAUAGUAAAUUUUGUGAUGUUUGGUGAAGUCCGAAAUAAUAUGCAGAACUUGAGUGUCCUGAAUGGAUGUAGUAUUUAAUGGUGGACAUAGUUGAGGGACUAAUGUGGGAAUUAUCAAACAAAGAAUUGCAUAUGGUACAAAGACUUGUAUGGAAAUUAGAGCAGGGGGAGUAGAAAAUGACUACUUCUACGGGCAUCAAUUGAGAAAGAUUUCCGGUGCAAAUGUUAGCAAAUUUUUGAGCUUCAGCCUUAAACAUUAGCAAGAUUGCAAUACCGGGAUUAUCUAGUGUUGGUUGCCCACUCAAUUGAGGGUUAAGUUGAAGGAUUUGUUGAAGCAAGCUAAGCUAUCAAUCAAGGUUGGAGAAAGCUUAGGAGGUCACAAUACAUCAUUAUUGCAUAAUUAUUUAAAUGAAAUUUAAUAUUUAAAUAAAAAAUAUUAAUAUAGUACCAACAAUAUUCCAUUUCUUUUAACCAAGUGUUUCUAGAUUAUGAAAUUCAUUAAUGAUUUGUAAAAUAUAUUGAUGCGAUCCCGGCCGCAUCAUGUUUCGAUACAACUCGACGACCUCAGAAUUGACCUAAACUCUAGGGGCCCAAGUGCAAAAUGAAGCUUAAUUUCAGCUCAAUGAGCUCAAUUCUAGCUUCUUCAAGCUCGUCUAGUUCAACCCAAGCUCAUUUAGCUUAACUUCAACCCAUUUUUAAUUUGUUGGAAUAAGUAUUUAGUUGCUGGAAUAAAUUACUCAUCUUAGUUAAUUGAGUUCAUCUUAGUUAAUUAAGUUGUUGGAAUAUGUUACUCAUCUUAGUUAAUUUAGUUGCUAGAAUAAUUUAUUGUUGCAUGUGUUUUUAAGUUUAUUAAAUUCAGUUAAGUGUUAAAUGUGUUUAUUUACAGUUUAUUAACUAAGCUUGUUAAGUCUAAUAUGUGUUAAAAUGUGUUUAAUGUGUUUGUUUGUAGGUGACUAAUCAGUUGGAAACAGUUAUGUACAAGGGCUGUUACAAAGUGUUAAAUGCGACUAUUCAUUUGGAAUCGGUUACAUACAAGGGGCUAUUACAUUAUUUAAAGGAGAGCAUUAUACAUCAUUUAAAGGAGAAUUUAAAGCUUUUCCUAAACUUUUUGGCUGCUCAAGAAUGAAAUCUAAGCAUUCAAGCUUAUUAAAUCAACUGAAUUAGAACAUUAAAUGAUCUUAUUGAUAGUUGCUGUUAUUUAGGCCUAGAAUUUCAAGAGUUUGUGCUUAGUGACUAAGUUAAUUUCAGCUCAUUAUUAGCUCAUUAAGCUGAACAAAAGUGACUAUUCGGCUAGGCCUCAUUUAGCACUAUAAAUACUUGUAAUCAGCUCAUUGUAAAAAAAACUUUUUGCUGAAUUUAUGCUAAAUUUGAAACUUGUGAGAUUUCCAAUUCUCGUUGUUCUUUCGAGAUUGAAUUGACUUAUCAAGUUUUCUUGUGGCAUCAUUCUUUCUUUUGUUUAAACCGAACUUAUCACCUUUUGGUGUGGCGUUCAUAUACAUUUGGUUCCUAUCACUUUUGAUAGUGGGUAAAGGUCCUUGCUGUUUUCUUUAAACCGUAAAUCACCUAAGAGCUAUUUUGAGACUCGGGUCAACAAUCUAAUAUUGUUGGUUCAUUCUCGGUCUUAGCCAAAUUAUCCAUUAUUUACUUAACCAUUUUACCUACUACCAUUGUUUGAAGCCAUUUAUCCUAUUUUGUUUCAUUUAACUGAAACGAACUUAUCCUUACUCAAUUCACGAUCGGGUAAUCUAAACGACUCGAAUCAUUCCGAAACGAGUUCGUAUCAUAUAUCCUCCAUUCUUAUUGAGUGGGUGUAAUGAAAAUUCUCCUAUUUCUAAUUGUGAUAAAGUAGAGACUCUCUUUAGAAAAAAGGCAGCAACAUUUUUCAAUUAUUAAUUGAACACCUUGGUGAAUUUUCGUUUUUUUUCUUUUUUUCUUUUUACGGUUCAAUUUUCGUUUGGGUAUUGUAAUUUCAGGUUAAUCAUUGUUUGGUUGAUAUUCUCAACUUCAAUCUUUAAUUUACUUGAGAUUAUUAGUUGAUUGUUUUUGUUGGAAUCAUAUGAUUUUAUUGUGUAUUUAUGUUUUAAUCUUUUAGAAAGAAGUUUUUAUGUGGACUUUCAAGCUUCGUAAUUUUUAUUAUUUGCUUUACGUAAAAAAAACUCGUGGGAUACAAAAAUUCACAAAAAAACUUGCUAUAAGAUUACAACACAAAACCAUAAGCUUAUAACUCAACAAAAGCUAUCAAUAAAUAAUCUCAAGCUAGCUAAAGAGAAAUGUAGAGAAUAUCACCCAAACAGUAACUUGCUUUAAAAGUUAAAAAUCCAAAGUUAUAGUACCCCAAACGAAAAUCGAAUAUUAAACAUUAAAGAUCUUCGAUUCUACUAGCUAUUGUAAAAAAAAAAAUUCCAACGGACACCAAAUAGACCUUUGAUCGAAGAAAAUACGAAAACUAGUCUGGUUAAAACUACAUGCCAAACUCACUUUUUCUCAUUUCUUUAACUUGCGGUGAAAUUCAAAACUAAUGUUAUAUUUUUUCACUGAAAUUAACUUUAAAAAAAUUAUCUGAAAAAAAUGAUUGAUUUUUCAAAAAAGAUUGAUAUUUUUUUAUGUUUGGAUGAUUUUUUGUAAAAUAUAUUUCGUUGUUUGACAAAUUUUUUUGAAAUAAUUUUCUUAGAGUUGUUUUUAGUAAAACAAACAUAAGAUAGAUAUAUUUGUUACAAAAGAUUAUAGUAACAUUUUCUUUUGACAAUUUAAAUUUAUUUUAUAACAAGAUGAUAUUUUAUAAUAAUUAAUAUUAUAUAUAAACUUAAUAAUAAACAAUAUCUAAUUAAAACUUAAUUUAUAUUAAAUAUAUUAAUAAAGCUAAGUAUAAUUUAAACAAAUACUCAUGUUUUAUAUCAUUAAAAUAUUAAUAUAAAUAUUUUUCAAUAAUAUAUUAAGAAUAUUAUUUAAAAUUUAAAAUUAUUAUUUUUAAAAUUAAUUAUUAAAAUAAAAAUGUAAUAUUAAAUAAUUUAUCAAAAUGAUAAGUCAUAUUAAUAAUUUAUUAGAUUAUUAAAUAUAAAUAAUUAAAUAUGUAUAUUUAAUAAUAUUGAACAUUAUAAUAUUUUUUAUUAAUAUUUUAAUAUUAUUAAUAUAAUAAUAUUGGACUUGAUUCAAGUUAAUUUUUAUAUAAAAAAAAUAAAAUUACAUGUAAAUGAACUCAUUUUCAAAAAAAUAACUUGUACUUUUAAAAAAGGUAAACUAAUUUACAGAAAAACAAACUUAUUUUCUGUUAAUCUAUAAUUUUUUUUGUUAAUCAAAUUAUUUUCAUGAAAUAAAUAUAAAAAAAUACAAAAAAAAAACAGUUUCCAUAUUAACACUCAAUACUAAACUGUCAUUUUCCUCCGCUUCCCUAAUUUGUAUGUAGCAGUGAACGUUUGAUCGAAUCGAGUAAAAAAAAUUGAGUUGACGAGUCAUAUUUUAUCAUCUUAACUUGAUUUGAAAUUUUUUUAAAUCAAGUCAAAGACUAAGAGCACAUAAAUUUGAAACCUUAUCUAUUUGAAUUUGUUUUAAAAAAAAAAAGAAAAAAAAUACUUUAGCAUGAUAAACUUGAAUUGUGAAUUAACUUAUUUAGGUCCCAAAAUUAUUAUUUUAUAAUUUUUUUAAAAAAUAUAAAUUUUAAAAUUUUUAUAAAUAUUUUGAAUUGAAUUUUUGUUGAAAGAGAGACCGAUCUAUCAUUUUCAAAAUUAAAAAAAAGACCAAACUAUAUUUACAGUAAUUUAUUAUUCGAAUUAUUUAAAUUAUAUAAUUUAACUCAAUUUAAAAUCGAAACUCGAAUAACUCAAUUUUUAACCCGAAAUUUAUUUUUUAAAUUUUUUAAAUCAAAUCGAAUUUUGUUCGCCCUACAUCAAUAACUUUGUAUCCAUAUCAAGCUUUUUUUUAAGCUAUAUAUAUUAUUUUAGAGAAUACAUGGUCACCACGGUUCAAUGAUUGAACACCACUCCACUCUCCACUUUUUUUAGAUAAGUCUUUGGCCUGUGUGGUUUAUCCUCUUAAUUUUUUGAGGAUAUCAUUUACUAAAUAAUUUAUUUUUUACAUAAAUUUUAAUAUAUAUUAAUAAUAAAUUAAUUCAAUUGGUAAUAUUUAACUAUUCUCAUAACUCAUUUUUAAUAAAGAAAAUAAUAAAAUUCGAUUAUGAUAAGGAGGUUUUAUUUUUAACAAAAAUUAUUUUUUAUAUUUCUAAGUUUAAAUCUAAAUUUAUACAAGUUAUUCUUUAUUUUAUAUCUAAUUAUUGUAAAACAUAAAUAAUAUUUUUUUUUCCUUUUCAUGCUACCAAACAAUCCAUUAAUCAUUAAUUAUAUUAAAAUCUUUGACUUAUUAAUAUUUAUGGAAAGUAAAUCGGAUGCUAAAGAAAUCUUAGUCAAACCAAAAAGAAAGAAGAGAUAGAGGUGGGCAAAGCUGAGGUUCAGCUUUCAUAAACACCUUCAUUUGAAGACACAGUUCUCAUACUCAAACCAAAAGACAUGGAAGUUUUCCUUGUAAUUAGAGAUCUGGUUUCACUGCUUGUUGUUGGGUUAUUAAUGAUAUGGGGAUGGAGGGCUUUAAACUGGGUAUGGUUGACCCCAAAGAGACUCGAAAGGUGCUUGAAACAACAGGGUUUUGCAGGAAAUCCUUAUAGGUUCCUUUCUGGAGACAUCAAAGAGAGCUUCACUAUGAGCAGACAAACAAGAGCCAAACCUAUGCCUGUUAGUGAUGAUAUUGAGGCUUAUGUUGUUCCUUUUCUUCAUCGAACUAUCAACAAUCAUGGUAUGUUCUACAUUAAUCUGCAAUUUCAUCGUGAUAUUCAGAUUUCUUUUUUUAUGUCUGAAGUUUAUUAGGGGAUAUGCAGGAAAUAAUUCAUUUAUGUGGUUUGGUCCAAGACCAAGGGUGACAAUUAUGGACCCUGAAAAAAUAAGAGAAAUAUUUACCAAAUUCAAUGACUUCCAGAAGCCUCAUUCCAAUCCACUGGUUAGAUUCCUUGUAGGUGGCCUUUCCAACCUCGAGGGAGACCAAUGGAGUAAGCAUAGAAAAAUUUUAAACCCUGCAUUUCAUCAAGAUAAGUUGAAGGUAUGUUGUAUUUGCACUUUUUUUCCUCUUUCAAUUCAAUCAUUUUGACUUACCUUAAUCAAUACCUUUAGGAGACUAAUUUUCAUUUCUAAUAUAUUUAUGUACUUCUGGUAUGGAAAUAAUUGCAGAACAUGUUGCCAGCAUUUUAUCAAAGUUGUAAUGAGAUGAUAAGCAAAUGGGAGGAGAUGGUGUCUAAAGAAGGGUACAGUGAGUUAGAUGUGUGGCCUUAUAUCGUAAAUAUGACAAGAGAUGUGAUUUCCCGAGCUGCGUUUGGGAGCAGCUACGAAGAAGGAAGAGGAAUUUUCCAACUAUUAGAGGACCUAACCUCUCUCACAAUCAAAGUUUUUCAAUCUGUUUACAUUCCAGGAUGGAGGUAAACCUGAACUUUAUCUUCGAGUUUUAAGGAAAAUGUUACAGAUGUUGAAAUUCGAAUCUCGGGUGUUUGUUUUCUUGAAGGUUUUUACCCACAAAGACUAACAGGGAGUUGAAGAUGAAACACAAAGACAUAAAAGAAUCGCUUAGGGAAAUGAUAAAGAGAAGAGAGAAGGCAAUUAAAGCAGGGGAAGAGAGCAAUGAGGACUUGUUGGACAUACUUGUGGAAUCCAAUAUCAGAGAAAUGGAAGCAAAGCAUAAGGGGAUGAGCAUUGAGGAUGUGAUUGAGGAAUGCAAGCUGUUUUACUUUGCUGGCCAAGAGACCACUUCGGUCUUACUGGUGUGGACUAUGGUUUUACUAGCAAGAUAUCCUGAUUGGCAGACUAAAGCAAGGGACGAGGUCUUGCAUGUUCUUGGUGACCGUAAAC
rnacentral:lncRNA from 1 species